rnacentral:rRNA from 1 species
GCUGGCGGCGUGCCUAAUACAUGCAAGUCGAACGGCUUUUCUAUGGAAGCUUGCUUCCACUGAGAAGAUAGUGGCGAACGGGUGAGUAACACGUGGGUAACCUGCCCAUAAGAGGGGGAUAACAUCCGGAAACGGGUGCUAAUACCGCAUAGUUUUCUUGAUCGCAUGAUUGAGAAAGGAAAGACGGCCUUUGUGCUGUCGCUUAUGGAUGGACCCGCGGCGUGUUAGUUAGUUGGUGAGGUAACGGCUCACCAAGACGAUGAUACGUAGCCGACCUGAGAGGGUGAUCGGCCACAUUGGGACUGAGACACGGCCCAAACUCCUACGGGAGGCAGCAGUAGGGAACCUUCCGCAAUGGACGAAAGUCUGACGGAGCAACGCCGCGUGAGUGAAAGAAGGUUUUCGGAUCGUAAAACUCUGUUGUCAGAGAAGAACAAGUUGGAGAGUAACUGCUCCAGCCUUGACGGUAUCUGACCAGAAAGCCACGGCUAACUACGUGCCAGCCGCCGC